UACGGAGGGUGCGAGCGUUGUCCGGAAUCAUUGGGCGUAAAGGGCGCGUAGGUGGCCCGGUCAGUUCGUGGUGAAAGCGCGGGGCUCAACCCUGCGUCGGCCAUGAAUACUGCCGCGGCUGGAGCACUGUAGAGGCAGGCGGAAUUCCGGGUGUAGCGGUGGAAUGCGUAGAGAUCCGGAAGAACACCGGUGGCGAAGGCGGGUCUCUGGGCAGUAACUGACGCUGAGGAGCGAAAGCGUGGGGAGCAAACAGG
rnacentral:rRNA from 1 species